rnacentral:RNase_P_RNA from 1 species
GCGGGCUGGUGAACGAAACGCUGCGAAAGCAGAGGAAACUCCUCCCUCCAUGCAGAAACAUGAUCUAGAGAUAGAUAAUCAGAAAUGAUUGGCAACGGAAUAGAAACUAUCCUACCUGGAGUACCGUGAUGGCAAAACCUGAGAUUUCCAGUUAAAGGAAUGAAAAAUCUGCCCCAUGUGGAGCAAAGCCAAACAGAACAAAUAGGAUCUGCACCUUGUUCAGGUAGGCUGCAAAGCGGAAUAUCGUGAAAACAGAAGGAGGGUUACGGCCAGCACGC